rnacentral:rRNA from 1 species
UACGCAGGGUGCGAGCGUUAAUCGGAAUUACUGGGCGUAAAGCGUGCGUAGGCGGUUCGUUAAGUUCGUUGUGAAAGCCCCGGGCUCAACCUGGGAAUGGCAAUGGAAACUGGCGGGCUGGAGUAUGGCAGAGGGGGGUGGAAUUCCGCGUGUAGCAGUGAAAUGCGCAGAGAUCAGGAGGAACACCCGUAGCGAAGGCGGCACUCUGGGCCGAUACUGACACUGAGGAGCGAAAGCGUGGGGAGCGAACAGG